rnacentral:rRNA from 1 species
UACGUAGGGGGCAAGCUUUGUCCGGAAUUACUGGGCGUAAAGCGCGUGUAGGUGGUGGGACAAGUCUGCUGUGAAAGCGCCUGGCUUAACCGGGCGAGGUCGGCGGAAACUGUCCGACUCGAGGACGGUAGAGGGGGGUGGAAUUCCCGGUGUAGUGGUGAAAUGCGUAGAGAUCGGGAGGAACACCUGUGGCGAAGGCGGCCCCCUGGGCCGGCCCUGACACUGAGACGCGAAGGCGUGGGGAGCGAACGGG